CCGACCGCAUGUUCCUCCGUUCCGGCCUGCAUCGCGAGCAACCCGGCCGACUGGACGCCCUGGCCCCGAAAGGGGCCUUUUCGUUCUAGUUGGAACUCUUGCUGGCAAACCCGGAGACCUGCAAGCGGCCAGUGCUAAGGCGAGUCGACGAAACCGUCGGCGAGGAAGAGGACCUGUGGAGCCGGAGUGGUCACAAUCGGGA